UACGUAGGGUGCAAGCGUUGUCCGGAAUUAUUGGGCGUAAAGAGCUCGUAGGCGGUUUGUUGCGUCGGCUGUGAAAUCCCGAGGCUCAACCUCGGGUCUGCAGUCGAUACGAGCAAACUAGAGUGUUGCAGGGGAGACUGGAAUUCCUGGUGUAGCGGUGAAAUGCGCAGAUAUCAGGAGGAACACCGGUGGCGAAGGCGGAUCUCUGGGCCAUUACUGACGCUGAGGAGCGAAAACGUGGGGAGCGAACAGG
rnacentral:rRNA from 1 species